AUGGCAAUAUCACGUUGAAACACCGAUUCCCGUACGAUCAUCGAAGUUAAGCAAUGUUGACCUUAGUCAGUACCUAGAAGGGUGACCGCUUGGGAAUACCAGGUUUUGUAA